rnacentral:lncRNA from 1 species
GAAAUCGUUUAGAUUCUUCAACAAGUGGAGUACUCAUCCUCAGUUCCUUGAUGUUAUCAGAUCAGCUUGGAAUGUUAAUGUGCAUGGAUCCCCCCCUUCCAUCUUAUGUCAAAAACUCAAAGCCUGCAAAGCAACACUUAAGGAGUGGAAUACAAAUACCUUUGGCAAUAUUACCACCCGAGUUCAAUUUUGCAGAAAGGAACUAAUAGCAAUGCAACAUGAGCUGCAACUUCAGCCCAAUGAUGAGAAUUUUAUCAAAAAAGAGACAGAAGCUAGAAAUAACUUAAUGCAAGCCUUAAAGCAGGAGGAAAGUUUUACAAAACAGAAGUCUCGACAACAUUGGCUUACUUUAGGGGAUUCCAAUACUAAGUUUUUUUAUGCUUCCAUUGCUGCUUGAAGAGCCGUUAACCGCAUCAGGAAAUGCAAAGACAAAGAUAACAAUCUUAUUGAGAAUUUAGAUGAGGUUAAAGCAUACACUAAGCAAUUUUUUUAUUCCUUACUUGUAACACCCCUCAUUUCCGAAUGUUCGUAUAAAUUUUUGGUGAUAAUGUAAGCAUCUAUUUUAAUUGACAAAAGAAAUAGAGUAUGAAUCAGAGGUAACUUAUUUUUAAGAUUUGGGAGAUCUGUUCAAAAAAAAAAAGAAAGAAUCUGAGGACCUAUAUGUAAACCCUAAGGACCUAAUCGUGAAUAUGAUAAAAACAAGGACUAAACUGUAAAAUGCACCNN